rnacentral:lncRNA from 1 species
CAGGAAGUGACAUCAGAUUGGAGGAGCAGUUAGUGACAGUGUUUCACCUCACAUCAUGUCUGCUCCAACUAAACAGAGUUAUCUUCAGGUUCAAUAGAGGACACAUCAGAAUCAUCAUAGAAAUGUCUCUGGGCUCUGUGGUCAUUCUUUACUCACUUUAUUGAAGUACUGUAUAUGUCCUUCUUACAAUGCACCCUAGUCGUGGAGCAACUGGAAAUGAAUGGUAGAACAAAGUGUCUCUGUCUGAAUUUAAGUCUAUAAUUGAUGCAUAGAUUGUGGACAAAUGUAAUUGCUUUUAAGUUUUGCUAAUAUAUUUUUGUCUUAGUGUGUUGUUGUUGUCAAAUGUCAUUGCAGUGGCAGGGCAGAAAUUGGACGAGGAGAUAUCAUGGAUUAGGACAGAGCGAGAGCCUGUCUCCUUCAGCUGCAAAGACAAUGAUCAGUGUACAACGCAUGUCUCCUGGUACCAGAAGAAGGAGGGAGAACAUUUUACCUUGAUUCUUGAGCUGUGACUGAAUCAAGCUGUGAAUUAAUGAAAAAGAAAGUGUUCUGCACCACAGGAAGUGACAUUGUCAGAGGAACUGUUUGAGACGACACACUCCAGCUGGUUUUUCACCUCUCAUCUUCAUAAUCGACUCUAUGAUCCAAACCAUACUUCAGUAAAGAUCUGUUAAAUCAGUCUGAUGUUCAGUGCUUUGGAGCUUUUCAUUUCCCCAAAUCUUAAGCACAUAUUCACUGAACAUGGACUGUGGUAUAACAAUAUUCUCUCUUUUUCUGGUGGCUGCUUCAGGACAACGGCUGCAACAGGACCAGAUAUCAAAGACUAGGAGAGAGAAACAGAGUGUCUCCUUCGGCUGCAAAGUUACUGGUUCGUGCUUUGGUAACCUGGUCCACUGGUACCAGAAGAGAGAGGGUGAACCCUUUUCUUGGAUUCUAUACUUUGAUUUCGAUGACAAUUCUGACAGCCGUGCUACCACUCAUCCUCAGAGAGCAGAUUUCUCUGUUAGGGGGGAGUCUGACUCCAGUAAUCUUAUGAUCAAGUCCGUUAAAGUGUCCCAUUCUGCCACCUACUACUGUGCCUGCUGGGUCUCGGGAACCCACAGUGAGAACUGAUCCACACAGCCUGUACAAAAACUCUGUGGUUUUAAUCAAGCUUUGUAUUCAUGAAAAGGUUCCUUACCACAGUAAGUGACAUAAGAGUUUUGAGUGUAGCGUCUUCUUCAAAUCCAAAGUGAAAUGCAAUUAUAAAAGGAAUUAUAAAUAAAUGAACAAGAUGUCUUGCCAAUGAGCAAACAGUGUCUAAACUGCAUCUUCUUGAUGUGUCCUGCAUACGGACAUUGUGUGCAGAGGUUGGACAGAGGAUUGUGUGCUUUUUAGGUAUAUAUGGGUAUAACAGUCAGAAUAACCUAUUUACAUAAGUAUUCAGACGUUUGCUAUGAGACUCAAAAUUGAGCUCAGGUGCAUCC